rnacentral:rRNA from 1 species
AUACGUAGGUGACAAGCGUUAUCCGGAUUUACUGGGCGUAAAGGGCGUGUAGGCGGUCUUGCAAGUCAGAAGUGAAAUUCCUGAGCUCAACUCGGGCGCUGCUUCUGAAACUGCAGGACUUGAGUGCUGGAGGGGAUAGCGGAAUUCCUAGUGGAGCGGUAAAAUGCGCAGAUAUUAGGAGGAAUACCAGUGGCGAAGGCGACUCUCUGGACUGAUACUGACGCUGAGGCACGAAAGCGUGGGGAGCAAACAGGAUUAGAUAUCCUGGUAGUCCACGUUAUAAACGAUGAGUGCUAGGUGUCGGGGGUCAAACCUCGGUGCCGCAGUUAACACAUUAAGCACUCCGCCUGGGGAGUACGGCCGCAAGGCUGAAACUCAAAUGAAUUGACGGGG